AAGCCCCGGCACCUUUCUGGGUGCUUCAUCAGAUUUGCACUCUGCUUCUUGCGGGACU
rnacentral:tRNA from 1 species